rnacentral:rRNA from 1 species
AACGAACGCUGGCGGCAUGCCUAACACAUGCAAGUCGAACGAGACCUUCGGGUCUGGUGGCGCACGGGUGCGUAACGCGUGGGAACCUGCCCUUAGGUUCGGAAUAACUCCCCGAAAGGGGUGCUAAUACCGGAUAAUGUCUUCGGACCAAAGAUUUAUCGCAUUUGGAUGGGCCCGCGUUGGUUUAGCUAGUUGGUAGGGUAAAAGCCUACCAAGGCGACGAUCCAUAGCUGGGCAGAGAGGAUGAUCAGCCACACUGGGACUGAGACACGGCCCAGACUCUUACGGGAGGCAGCAGUGGGGAAUAUUGGACAAUGGGCGAAAGCCUGAUCCAGCAAUGCCGCGUGAGUGAUGAAGGCCUUAGGGUUGUAAAGCUCUUUUACCCGGGAUGAUAAUGGCAGUACCGGGAGAAUAAGCACCGGCUAACUCCGUG